AUUGAACGCUGGCGGCAUGCCUUACACAUGCAAGUCGAACGGCAGCGGGGGAGAAGCUUGCUUUUCCUGCCGGCGAGUGGCGAACGGGUGAGUAAUACAUCGGAACGUGCCCUGUAGUGGGGGAUAACUAGUCGAAAGAUUAGCUAAUACCGCAUACGACCUGAGGGUGAAAGUGGGGGACCGCAAGGCCUCAUGCUAUAGGAGCGGCCGACGUCUGAUUAGCUAGUUGGUGGGGUACAGGCCUACCAAGGCGACGAUCAGUAGCUGGUCUGAGAGGACGAUCAGCCACACUGGGACUGAGACACGGCCCAGACUCCUACGGGAGGCAGCAGUGGGGAAUUUUGGACAAUGGGCGAAAGCCUGAUCCAGCAAUGCCGCGUGUGUGAAGAAGGCCUUCGGGUUGUAAAGCACUUUUGUCCGGAAAGAAAUGGCUCUGGUUAAUACCUGGGGUCGAUGACGGUACCGGAAGAAUAAGGACCGGCUAACUACGUGCCAGCCGCCGCGGUAA
rnacentral:rRNA from 1 species